CUGGUGAUUGACACCAGAGACUGAGAAAAACUUUGACAUAAUUUUCAAGUUUGAUAUGACCUAAUAACUACCACAUUUACAGGAAGUAUGGUAAUACAUUCUUGUCAGCUGUCUGGGCAAAUCUUCUCUCGCAGAAUUGGAUUAAAAUUUAAUGUAUUUUAUUUCUCACUUCCAACGAUGUCGCAAUUAUUAGGCAGCUAUCAAGUCUCAAGAUAUGACAUAAUUUGAUAGAAUGUUAGUACCAACGCUAUCAGUGCAUUGAAGUCGAGUUCUCGAUACAGGGAGCUGCUGGUAAACUACCGUCGCUAUACAUCGACUAUGACUACAAUCCUACUUUUAAAAACAAACUACAUACAUAUCUCACAUUUUCGAGGACUACUUCAUCACAAGCAAAAAAUCGACAUUGGUAAAUAAAGGUCUGUCUUCUAUAACCACGAUGAAAAGAAAAGCUGGGCGAAAACAUUUGAGACUGCAGAUUGCAGAACUGGAACACUCUAUUUGAAGACAGUGGCUGCUGAGUGCUGAGCUGCAUCAAAUCUAUCAGCAUCAUGUAACUUCGAUCAGGAACAGACUCCAUUUCAUUUCCGACAACUAGCACCUGUUUUCCCUAGACUUACCAAGUAUUAAGUAACUGCAUUAGUAUUAGGUUAAAUUAAAGGCCCUACAUCGAACAAGUCUAACAAUUAAAACUUAAAUGCAAGAGUGCACAAUUUAUCACUAAAUAUCUUCCUCUUUUAAUUCUAAUCAACACACGGUUUCGUCUUUGUUUCACCCAAUCGUGCUGAUAAUCAGUAAUCAUGCACUCUGCACUCUAACUUCGAGAUGUUUCAAAAGGGCUCCCGACGAGUUGAAUUAGAUCAAUAUUUUCUUUUGAUACAUAGAUACUGAUUGGGAGGUUCAUCAUACUAUUCUUGUCACAUGGUAACGAUUAACGAUUAGCUGAUCAGCUUCCAGCAUCGACAGGCCGAAAUCCAUAAAUAUAAUCAGUUGUAAUUUAAUAUUUAUCAUCGUCCGGAUCAUCAUAAUAUUUUAAUUUAAAGUUACAAUUGAACGGUGUUAAGAAAGAUAAUUUAAGAGAAAUGUUUUGAAAGUGCCUGAUUUCGAGUAUAAGAUCUGUACUGAUACAUUAAUUUUCAGAUUGUUAUUAUAGUUUAUUUGUAUUUUUUAUAUUAUCUUAUCCGGACAAGUUCGGAAGCCAUCUGAACGCUAUUGCCAGACACAGGCAUAUAUUUAUUUUGGGGUAUCAUGCUCUCAGAAAUUUCAACUCAGUCCGAUAUUAUAGUUAUACUAACCUGCAUUGCAUAAGGUUAAUUGUCUCGCAGUCUAGUGCAUAAACCUUUUAUUUUGUAUAAACCC